UACGUAGGGUGCGAGCGUUAAUCGGAAUUACUGGGCGUAAAGCGUGCGCAGGCGGUUUUGUAAGCCAGAUGUGAAAGCCCCGGGCUCAACCUGGGAAUUGCAUUCGAGACUGCAUGGCUAGGAUGCGGAAGAGGGAAGCGGAAUUUCCGGUGUAGCGGUGAAAUGCGUAGAUAUCGGAAGGAACACCAGUGGCGAAAGCGGCUUCCUGGUCCAGCAUCGACGUUCAGGCACGAAAGCGUGGGGAGCAAACAGG
rnacentral:rRNA from 1 species